rnacentral:misc_RNA from 1 species
AACGGUCUAUACCUGCGGUACCUGCGGAGGGAUCAUUACUGAGUGUAUUUUUUUUCUGAAUUGAAAGAUUCAUGAAAAGAAACCUCCCACCCUUUGUUUAAAAGACCUGUUGCUUCGGCAAGACUGAUAUUCUUAAUUGAAUAUCUGUCGACUAAAAUUCAAUUUUUAGUGGGCUAGUUUUUUGCUUGCCGAAGUUUUUUAACAACUCUUUUUUUUUGAAUAUUUGAUUUGAAAAAACAA